rnacentral:rRNA from 1 species
GACGAACGCUGGCGGCGUGCUUAACACAUGCAAGUCGAACGGAGUGGCGAACGGGUGAGUAACACGUGGGUGAUCUGCCUUGCACUUCGGGAUAAGCUUGGGAAACCGGGUCUAAUACCGGAUAGUGCAAGAUGAGCUCGGGGCCUAGCAGCUUUUUGGUGGGGUAAUGGCCGACCAAGGCGUAGACGGGUCGCCGGACUGAGAGGGUGUACGGCCACAGUGGGACUGAGGUACGGCCCAGACUCCUACGGGAGGCAGCAGUGGGGAAUAUUGCACAAUGGGCGGAAGCCUGAUGCAGCGACGCCGCGGGGGGGAUGAAGGCCUUCGGGUUGUAAACUCCUUUCGACAGGGACGCGGUACCUGUAUAAGAAGCACCGGCUAACUACGUGCCAGCAGCCGCGGUAAUUC